rnacentral:rRNA from 1 species
GGAGGAGGCAAGCGUUGUCCGGAAUCAUUGGGCGUAAAGAGCGCGUAGGCUGUUUUUCAAGUCAUAUGUGAAAACCUCAGGCUUAACUUGAGGACUGCAUAUGAAACUGAAAAACUUGAGUGCAGUAGGGGAAAGUGGAAUUCCUGGUGUAGCGGUGAAAUGCGCAGAUAUCAGGAAGAACACCGGUAGCGAAGGCGGCUUUCUGGGCUGCUACUGACGCUGAGGCGCGAAAGCUAGGGGGGAGCAAACAGGAUUAGAUACCCUGGUAGUCCUAGCUGUAAACGAUGGACACUAGGUGUGGGGAGUUAUCGACGCUUUCCGUGCCGGAGCUAACGCAUUAAGUGUCCCCGCCUGGGAGUACGGUCGCAAGACUA